rnacentral:rRNA from 1 species
GAUGAACGCUGGCGGCGUGCCUAAUACAUGCAAGUCGAGCGAACAGACGAGGAGCUUGCUCCUCUGACGUUAGCGGCGGACGGGGGAGUAACACGUGGAUAACCUACCUAUAAGACUGGGAUAACUUCGGGAAACCGGAGCUAAUACCGGAUAAUAUAUUGAACCGCAGGGUUCAAUAGUGAAAGACGGUUUUGCUGUCACUUAUAGAUGGAUCCGCGCCGCAUUAGCUAGUUGGUAAGGUAACGGCUUACCAAGGCAACGAUGCGUAGCCGACCUGAGAGGCUGAUCGGCCACCCUGGAACUGGGCCACGGUCCAGACUCCUGCGGGAGGCAGCAGUAGGGAAUCUUCCGCAAUGGGCGAAAGCCUGACGGAGCAACGCCGCGUGAGUGAUGAAGGUCUUCGGAUCGUAAAACUCUGUUAUUAGGGAAGAACAAAUGUGUAAGUAACUAUGCACGUCUUGACGGUACCUAAUCAGAAAGCCACGGCUAACUACGUG